AACUAACUAACUAACUAACUAACUAACUAACUAACUAACUAACUAACUAACUAACUAACUAACCAACCAGCCCCCGCAUGCCCGGCCGGCGGGAGCGGAGCGCACCGCGGGCACGGCCAGCCGCACUAAGCUGCGAAGCCAAGGGUGCCCUACACCCAAUCCCCGGCUAAGCCUUCAUGCUUCGUGCCAGUUGUCACAAGUGUUCUAUUUACAGAAUCAGUAAGUGUGUAAGUAUCUGAAGGAUGGGUGUCAGGAGGAUGGACCAGGCUCUUCUCAGUGGUGCCCAGCAAUUGGGACAAGAGGCAAUGGGCAGUUUCAUCUGAACAUAAGGAAGAACUUGUGUGCUGUGAGGGUGACCAAGCGCUGGAACAGAUUGCCCAGAGAAGCUGUGGAGUCUCCCUCACUGGAGAAUUCAAGAACAGCCUGGACACAAUCCUCUGCUCUAGGAUGGCCCUGCUUGAGCACGGAGGUUGGACCAGAUGACCCCCUGUGGUCCUUUCCAAUCUGACCUGUUCUGUGAGUCUGUGAUCACAGCAUCUUCAGAGUAGGAAGGGACACACAAGGUUCAGCAGAGUCCAGCCCAAACGAAUAUUUAGUAGGAAAAGUUUGUAUUUAGGCACCUUUUGAGAAGGAUUUGGAAAAUUUCAGGGUUUCUUUAUAUAUACAGAAUCUCCCUUUUCUCUUAAAACAUUUACCCUUUGCCUAAAAAUUUACCUUGAAGAGAAUUUCACCAAUCUUUUCACACAGGCUCAGAGCCCUUGGAGCUGAUGAUUCAUGUUCAACCUGGCCUACCCUGAGUCAUUAGCAUGGACAGCUACACCAUUGGCCGCCAGGGACGGCAGCCCUCCCUUCGCCUCUCCUGGGGCACAGGAUUUGAAGAUAAAUUCAUAUUGCAGAGGAUAGGAACCCUGAAGUGUAAGAAAUCUGUAACAAAAUAUUUAAGAAACGUGUAUACAGUUGUGAAAGUUUUGAUAAUGCUGACCAAAUGUGGCCUGCAGCCUUAUUAAAUGAAUAAAUUAUGAUAGUCAUAUUAAGGCCUUCUUUUAGUUGAGAAGUAGAAAGGAGGUGUUGAAUAAUCUCCUAUUUUGACAAGGUUUCCAGAUUCCAAAUGCUCCAACUAGUUUACGAUCUUUUUCUUUGCUGUUAUUAUAUGUUCUAUACUAUUAAUAUAUAAGUAUAUGGUAUUUAUUGCACAUAUAAUGGACACGGUUAUACAGUUUUGCAUAUAAUAUAUAAUUAUGCAAUAUAGAUCUAAUUGUAUUAUGCACUUUCCAUUGCACAUAUAUUCUACAACAGUGCUGAGGUUAGGAGGCCUCCAGCAGGGGCAGUAAAAUGUGUGCAUUGUGCAUUUGUGCUUCAGCCUCUCCGCCGCCCAGUCUGUGUGUAUGCGUUACAGGUAUGUAGGUACCAGAGGAGCUGAGAUACAGAAUAUUCUGCAGGAUGUGACACAGAGGCAGCCAUUCCUAGGAGCCACUACUCUAUGAAAUGAUUCAUUCUCUUUUGCCCAAACCCUUAAAAAAUUGGGAAAUUCUUGUUUGUCACUGCUGUGGACUGUCACAAUGACCUCAUGCAUAAAAUGUGCCGUGAGUCACCAAAGAUAAUCUUUUUGAAAAGGCAAGAAUGCUCGGACAUCUACCUGUAGCUGAAAAAAGAAGCACUGUCAGUGACCAGACUUCUCCUAUGUUUGUUUCCAUUUCAACAAAUUGGCAUCAUCUUCUAAACACCCCAUGGGCUCUUUGGCAUGCUACAACUCAGCAGAUGCAUUGUCUCCUGGGCUUUACAGCUUCUUCU